UCUACGCUGUUAUACUUUGCCGGUGGCAAAUCAUAGCGCAGAAGCACAGGUACAAAUGUUUAAUCAAUGGGACGGCAUGCUGUCUACCGUUUGUCAUGAUGUCAAACUAACAAGCACGAACAGCGACAAUUGUGUACAUUGUUGGUCCGUAGUUUAUUUCGCGCCGGUUGCUUCACGUAUUAAAAUAAAUAUUUCUUUUUAAUACAAACGAUGAAAACUGUGCGCGCACACAGGGCGCGACAUUUGCGACGUUUGAAUUUUGCACUAUUUCCCGCGCGCUCCGUACGUGCCCGGCCGGCGCACUGCGUUACCGCGAUAAAGAAAAUAGUUCCUCAAGGAAGCUAAGCAGAAAACUUUCAUACUCCUGCAAACCACAUAAAUUGUUAAGAAAUACCUUUAUAUUACAAGAUUUGUUAAUAAAUAUUGCAAUUCAUGUCUAUGAAAGCGUGGAUUUGUAUGCGCGUUUUUGUGUGAAUGCGCGCUUGCGCUGUUGACUCUUUGGCGCAUUCCAGAACUUUGUGCGUGCGGCGGUAUGUGUGCGGGUUGCGUGAUGAGCUUGCUGCGUUUUCUGUGCCCUUUGCCUCGUUGUGGCAUCUUUGGUAUAUUUCAACCUGUUGCUCGCUCUUUAUGGGCUACACGUUGCCUCGAAGAUCACCAUGAUCGCCUCCGACUCAGCCAAAUCGAAGAAUCAAAAUGAGCCUGGAGACGCCACAGCCGGAAUGCGAAAGGUUGGAGAAGUGCUCAUUCAGAUCAUCCUGGCACAGAUUGCCAUGGUGGACCAGGCAAGUGUGCAACGGCCUUGAUUCACCAUGUGUUCACAGAGAAGAACCUCAUGGGCCACUCACUUCUCGAAAACACCACCACCAAUAGGCAAAAAGAGGCUCUUGGCCUUAUCAGGGUCAACGCUGUU